rnacentral:pre_miRNA from 1 species
AGUGAGAUUGCUAGAUCAUAUGGCAGUUAUGUUUUCAGUUUUUAAAGGAACAUCCAUAUUGUUUUCUAUAAUGGCUGCACUAGUUUACUUUCCUACCAGUGGU